CUAGAAAGCACUGGUUCUAUUUUCUAGUUAAGAAAACUGACAUUGGCUCAUUGCUGGGAGCUGACAGACAAGGAGCCUGAAUCCCAGUCUGUGCAGAACUCAGGUGCCUUCUCUUUCAUGAUGUUAAGAAAGCUGAGAAUGGUCAGUGGAGUUACCUAGGCCAAAAGAUGCUGCCUGGUGUGGACAAUGGACCAUGUUGAGAGAGGAAAUGCUGUAGGCAGCAUCACAGAAGGACACAGGCCAGGAUACUAGAAGCUCUGGCUACCCCCAAGCCCUCAUUCUCUGCAGCAGAACCAGACACAUCUACAAAUCAAGGAAGGUUGUGAACAAAGGGGCCAGUUCCAGAAAAGCACCAAAGGAGCCCUUAUCACCAGACUGCUGUAGUUUCUACACUGCAUGGCAACUUGUGACUCGUGUUUUCAACAGAGACGUAGCAAGACCUGGGGUGAGCCCAGCUCUACCAUUCACUGACUUUGUGACCAAAGUGCCGACGUUCUCCACAGACUCAUCCCUGGGCAUCUAGCCUGUCCUCAGCCUACCUUCCAGCCUGCUCCAGCAGCUCCCUCCCUGCCUCUCUUUCCCUAGGGCGCAUGCUCACUGCGGUUCCCUCUGAUAAACCUUUCCC